rnacentral:rRNA from 1 species
AGCUCCAAUAGCGUAUAUUAAAGUUGUUGCGGUUAAAAAGCUCGUAGUUGGAUUUCUACCGAAGACAGCCGGUCCACACUACGUGUGCGCAUCUGGUAUGACUUCGGUAUCCUCAUGGAGAACAGCUCUGCACUUCACUGUGUGGACUGGUAUUCAUGACUUUUACUUUGAGGAAAUUAGAGUGUUCACGGCAGGCAAUCGCCCUGAAUACAUUAGCAUGGAAUAAUAAUAUAGGACUUCGGCCC